CGAGAAUUUUUCACAAUGGGCGCAAGCCUGAUGGAGCGACGCCGCGUGGGGGAUGAAUGGCUUCGGCCCGUAAACCCCUGUCAUCUGCGAUCAAACCUUGCUAUUUAAAAGAUGGCGAGCUGAUAGUAGCGAAAGAGGAAGGGACGGCUAACUCUGUGCCAGCAGCCGCGGUAAUACAGAGGUCCCAAGCGUUGUUCGGAUUCACUGGGCGUAAAGGGUGCGUAGGUGGUGGGGUAAGUCGGAUGUGAAAUCUCGGAGCUCAACUCCGAAAUGGCAUUGGAAACUACCCUGCUUGAGGGUCGGAGGGGGGACUGGAAUUCUCGGUGUAGCAGUGAAAUGCGUAGAUAUCGAGAGGAACACCAGUGGCGAAGGCGAGUCCCUGGACGAUACCUGACACUGAGGCACGAAAGCUAGGGGAGCAAA
rnacentral:rRNA from 1 species